rnacentral:lncRNA from 1 species
UUUAAAAAAAGAAUUUAAUUCAACCGUAUCUAUUCAAAAUGAUGCUGUGAUGUCUGCUCUUGCUCAACAAAAAAUUAUAUUGGAGAAGUUAGUUCGGCAAGAUAACGUGCUUACUUCAGUAAAGCAAUACUUUCCGAUAAAAACCACUGAGGACCUGAAUACAAUAGAAUCCAAAAUUUUUCCCGAAAACACUCAUUUGUUUAUUACCACUAUGAGGACAGUAUUAAACCAUUCGGUGAUGAAAAACUUAAGAUAUGUGUUGACAACCGAAAUCAUAAUGACUUAUAACAUAGACGGGA